AUGAACAGAAAGUGUCCUCUAGUCACACGGAGAAAACUUGGAAGAAGAAGGACUAUAGGAGCUCUUGCCAUUGCUAUUCUAACCCCUAGUGAUUCUCCAAACAGCCGCGGCUCAUCCAGGCUGACAGACAGCAUAAUGGGUCAACUUCACAGACAGAAGCAAUUAAUGCAACAAUCCCUUGCAGAUCCAGGACCACUGUUUUUCUGCAGUAACUUGAGAACCAGGAGAUUGGAAGUAGAGGUGUGUUUUCACCCAGGCGAGCGGCACAGGCUGGGCACAGAGUGUGUCUGCACAGCACUGUAUGAUAGUUUACCCAGAAAGCCCUCAAGCUGCACCUUUCAUGAUUCAGAAGAGACCAUAACUCUGGCCAGCCAGUGAUCAUGGGUGCAAGCUGCCAACCAGCAGGCUGAUGGUUCACCUGCCUAGAAUAGAGAAUUCAGUUGGCCAAACUAGGACCACAUGCCCACCCUAGAGGCCAUGAUGUUGGAGUCCUGGGAUUGUCUGCAGAGCAGAGCCUCACAUGGAAGACAGAAGAGCAGAUCCUGAAAGAAAUGGUUACCAGGCAGACAUCCAUUGCAUUAGACCACAGUGAUCCUUUUUCUUAGAGACCUGUCAGUUGACAUGGCAAUUCUGCUCCCUAAAGAUACCUCCAUAACAGCUUAUCUGCCAAGUGAUAACUUUUCUUGUCUCCAUGGGCUCCACUUAGGUAGGUCUUACCCACUCAAAAGACUCAUGUGCCCAGAGGAGACAGACACACUCACUCUGUUAAAGUGAUCUAGGUACUCUCUGCAUAGCAUAUCCCAGAACAUCUUUUUGUACAUUUGUUUCUUAUUGUUUAGUUCAUGAAUAAAACAUGAAUCUAGUUUACA
rnacentral:lncRNA from 1 species